CUCAGGCUUCCGGUCUGUUUGGUGCCCUGGUCGCGUGUCUUCCGAACUCUGCUGCUUCGCCCCGGCAAGAGCACUUCCUUCCGCGGCUGCUAAAACUGGUGCGCGGGUUCCCAACUUCGCAGAAGAGCUUCAUCGGCCCCCCGCUAGAGACCUCAGACCGCAGCCAUCGACGCCUCGCCUCGGGGAUCUGUCCCCACCCUCGGGGCCAGGUCAGGGACCAGAGACCUGCGAAGCCCUCUCCUUAGGGGUUUAGUUCCCAGGCUUUCUGACCCCAGUAAUUCCAAACGCUUCCCUUUGUUUCCACAGCCCUAGCGUAGCAGGUGCUCCCUGCAGUUUUUGCUUCUGAGAUAGAGUUCUCUUUUCAGCUCCUUCGGUAGUCACUUCGUACAUAGUGAUUCAUGAUGCGAAAUCCUCUCUGUUGAAAUAACUGACGAGGCCUCUGUCUUCUGACUGGACCCUGACUUCCAUGCCCUUUCCACUCUCACUCCAGUACAUGCCCAAACCCCAAUCUUUGUUGCUCCAGGCAUUGCCUCUGUGGCGCUGUGUCCCCUCCUUUGAACUCUGAUCCUUCUGCUCAGGCCCUUUCUCCCAGUCUGAAGUAAGGAGUGAAAAAAUGUGAAUUGUUCUACUCAUCUGGAAAAGAGAACCCUGAGGCAGGAACAAGUCGUUAAUUGCAUGUGCGUUUGUCCACAGCUCACCAUGAGUCAGGCCCUGUGCUAGGUGCUGGGAUGAAGCAGUGACUGACACAGGCCUGGACCUGUCCUUGGGAAGAGUGCGUCUGUGACACAGAUACUGUGCCAUGUGGCAAAACUUGAAUGGAGACAUCAGCUCUUUGUGGGUCUCAAGUCUACUGGCUUUCAAUCAGCUCUUCUGCUUGACAGCUGCAGGUCUUGGGACUGCCCAGCCCCCAUAACCCUGUGAGUGCAUUCCUGAUAAUAACCCUCUUUCUCUUGUCCUCCCCCACCCCACAUCAUUGGUUCUGUUUCUCUGGAGAACCAUAAUACAUCAUUUACUAAUCAGGAAAUAGAUUCAGAGACAUUAAUAACUCAUCCAACCUCACAGUUAACUGUAGAGUUGGGCUUGAAAUUCCAAGGUCGAUUUUCUUAGCCAAUACACCAUGCUACAUAUAUGUAUGUAAAAAUAAAAACGCUUGUGAACUGAAAAG
rnacentral:lncRNA from 10 species